GACCCCGCCCGCCGCGGGGCGGGUCCAGCCGCGGGCCACCUCCCACCCCCGGAGGCCCCUGCGCGCGCAAGCCCGCCCUCGCGCGCGCCAUUGUUGUUCGGCUGGCUGCUUAGCCCUCUUUUGGUCCGUGGGCCGGGAACGGCGGGGAGGGGCUGUUUAGCUGCCCUGCUUUCGAGGGCACCUUGGAGAGCUCGGGCCGAAGUAGGGCGCGGUGUCCCCCGUCCCUUACCCUGCAGCACCGACUCUGCUAGGAGGCUUGAACUCUGAGACUAGCAUGGUUGUCGACUUCCUGCGUUGGAAUAUGACCUCCACGGAGUGGUCUCGCUGCUGUCUAGCUCAGUGACUGACAGCCUGGAAGUCUCCAGUCAUGUUUGUGGAAUUCAUGAAUGUGCCCUGCCUGUUUAACUGGUAAAGAAUUCGAGGCACGGAGAUUGUGUAACUUGUCCAGAAUCACUGCGGAGUAGGUGCUGAAAUCGUCUUUAAAUUGCAGACUGGCUCAGAACCUGAGUUCUUAAGCACAGUUCCAUUAAAGAACCCAAGACGUGCAUCAGCUUCCUUUGCAGGAAGUUAGAGAACUAACAGGUUUGCCAGGAGGGAAGGGAUAGGGAGUUUGGAAUGGACAUAUGCGCGCUGCUAUAUUUUCAGCGCAACCAGCAAGCACCUGCUGUGUAGGGCAGGGAGCUCUGCUCAAUGUUAGAUGGCAGCCCCGCUGGGAGGGGAGUUGGGAGGAGAAUGCGUGUUCACCACUGAGUCCUGUCAGGCUUUUUGAAACGCCAGGGACUGUAACCUGCCAGGCUUCUCUGUGCAUGAAAUGUUCCAGGCAAGGAGACUGGAGUAGGUUGCCAUUUCCUACUCCAGGGCCUCUUCCGGGCCCAGGGAUCAAAUACGAGUUUCUUGCGUCUUCUGCAUUGGCAGGUGGAUUCUUCACCACUGUGACGCCUGAGAAGCCCCUCUGGGGAGAAUGAAUACACAUGUAUGUAUGGCUGAGUCCCACUUGAAACUGUCGCAAACAUUGUUAAUUGGCUGUACUCCAGUAUAAAAUAAAAUGUUAAAAAAAUUUGUUUCACUACAGUCUCAGACAACCGGCAGUCUGGGCAUCUGAAACCAAAACAAAAAUCCUUUUGGAAUUUGGUAGAGUGUUAAAUCGAUUUUUCCUCAGGAUGAGGGUUGUUUUUUUUUUUUCAAUUCGCUGUUUGUUUAUAGCCCUGUUGUGAGGACAUCAGUACUGACUGUCUGACAGCUGGGAUUAAGGACAAAUCUUUGUUCAGUGCCACCUGUAUUCUGGAAUUGGUAGUUUAGGGUCAGGAUAUGCAUGAUGUAGGCAUUCUGUUAUAAACUGUGUUGUACUUGACAGAUACAGAUCACCCUUAUGUAUUGAUUUAUCAGGAAAAUAAGAUGAAAGUAUUUUUAAAUAAAAGUUCACGUCACUCAUGUUC